CGUCGCCACCCAAGCCGAUCGCCGCCACCCGGGAGCCUUACGUCGUCGCCGCCGUUCCCGAUUAAGGGCCGCCGCUUUCCGUUCUAGCCGCGAUAGUCUAGAACGCGGAGCCCCCGCCUGAGCCAUGAUCAUAUUGAGGCUGACUCGGAGCCGUCGGGUGAACAGACAGCUGAGGAGGAUUCAUGUGGUGAUGCCGAAGACAGUGAGUCAGAGUGGACGCCUCCGAGAAGGCGUAGGGACUAGUUCUGGGAGCGAGGCAAUAAAUUGAGAGGGCCCAAUUUUUGGAUAAUGCUGAUCUAGGAUGCUGAUCCUUUUUGUAUUUUGGAAGUUAAUAAUUACUGGUUCGGUGUGCUUGUAAUAAUAAUGGAUAUUGUAAAUAUUAUGGUGUAAGUUUGGCAAUGAGAACGAAUAUGUUCAUUCU